UACAGAGACUGCAAGCGUUAUUCGGAUUCACUGGGCGUAAAGGGUGCGCAGGCGGUUGGGUGUGUCAGAUGUGAAAUCCCGAGGCUUAACCUCGGAACUGCGUCUGAAACUACUCGACUAGAGUACUGGGGAGGGAAACGGAAUUCACGGUGUAGCAGUGAAAUGCGUAGAUAUCGUGAGGAACACCAGAGGCGAAGGCGGUUUCCUGGACAGUUACUGACGCUCAGGCACGAAAGCAUGGGGAGCAAAAGGG
rnacentral:rRNA from 1 species